CGUGAGUGAAGAAGGGUUUCGGCUCGUAAAGCUCUGUUGUUAAAGAAGAACGUGGGUAAGAGUAACUGUUUACCCAGUGACGGUAUUUAACCAGAAAGCCACGGCUAACUACGUGCCAGCAGCCGCGGUAAUACGUAGGUGGCAAGCGUUAUCCGGAUUUAUUGGGCGUAAAGCGAGCGCAGGCGGUCUUUUAAGUCUAAUGUGAAAGCCUUCGGCUCAACCGAAGAAGUGCAUUGGAAACUGGGAGACUUGAGUGCAGAAGAGGACAGUGGAACUCCAUGUGUAGCGGUGAAAUGCGUAGAUAUAUGGAAGAACACCAGUGGCGAAGGCGGCUGUCUGGUCUGCAACUGACGCUGAGGCUCGAAAGCAUGGGUAGCGAACAGGAUUAGAUACCCUGGUAGUCCAUGCCGUAAACGAUGAUUACUAAGUGUUGGAGGGUUUCCGCCCUUCAGUGCUGCAGCUAACGCAUUAAGUAAUCCGCCUGGGGAGUACGACCGCAAGGUUGAAACUCAAAAGAAUUGACGGGGGCCCGCACAAGCGGUGGAGCAUGUGGUUUAAUUCGAAGCUACGCGAAGAACCUUACCAGGUCUUGACAUCUUCUGACAGUCUAAGAGAUUAGAGGUUCCCUUCGGGGACAGAAUGACAGGUGGUGCAUGGUUGUCGUCAGCUCGUGUCGUGAGAUGUUGGGUUAAGUCCCGCAACGAGCGCAACCCUUAUUACUAGUUGCCAGCAUUAAGUUGGGCACUCUAGUGAGACUGCCGGUGACAAACCGGAGGAAGGUGGGGACGACGUCAAAUCAUCAUGCCCCUUAUGACCUGGGCUACACACGUGCUACAAUGGAUGGUACAACGAGUCGCGAGACCGCGAGGUUAAGCUAAUCUCUUAAAACCAUUCUCAGUUCGGACUGUAGGCUGCAACUCGCCUACACGAAGUCGGAAUCGCUAGUAAUCGCGGAUCAGCA
rnacentral:rRNA from 1 species